rnacentral:rRNA from 1 species
GAUGAACGCCGGCGGCGUGCCUAACACAUGCAAGUCGAGCGAACCCUUCGGGGUGAGCGGCGGACGGGUGAGUAACGCGUGGGUAACCUGCCCUAUACACACGGAUAACGUACCGAAAGGUACGCUAAUACGGAAUAAAGUUGUUGGAUGGCAUCUUCUAACAAUCAAAGCUCCGGCGGUAUAGGAUGGACCCGCGUCUGAUUAGCUAGUUGGUGAGGUAAUGGCUCACCAAGGCGACGAUCAGUAGCCGACCUGAGAGGGUGAUCCGCCACACUGGAACUGAGACACGGUCCAGACUCCCACGGGAGGCAGCAGUGGGGAAUAUUGCACAAUGGGCGAAAGCCUGAUGCAGCAACGCCGCGUGAGCGAUGAAGGUCUUCGGAUCGUAAAGCUCUGUCCUCAAGGAAGAUAAUGACGGUACUUGAGGAGGAAGCCCCGGCUAACUACGUGCCAGCCGCCGCCGUAA